GGGCCUUUAGCUCAGUUGGUUAGAGCAGUGGACUCAUAAUCCAAAGGUCACAGGUUCAAGCCCUGUAAGGCCCA
rnacentral:tRNA from 1 species